CCUACGGGAGGCAGCAGUGAGGAAUAUUGGUCAAUGGGCGAGAGCCUGAACCAGCCAAGUCGCGUGAGGGAGUACUGCCCUAUGGGUUGUAAACCUCUUUUGUCGGGGAGCAAAAGCCGGACGUGUCCGGCUGUGAGAGUACCCGAAGAAAAAGCCUCGGCUAACUCCGUUCCAGCCGCCGCGGUAAUACGGAGGAUGCGAGCGUUAUCCGGAUUUAUUGGGUUUAAAGGGUGCGCAGGCGGAUUUUUAAGUCAGCGGUCAAAUCGUGGGGCUCAACCCCAUCCAGCCGUUGAAACUGGGGAUCUAGAGUGUGCGAGAGGUAUGCGGAAUGCGUGGUGUAGCGGUGAAAUGCAUAGAUAUCACGCAGAACCCCGAUUGCGAAGGCAGCAGACCGGUGCACAACUGACGCUCAGGCACGAAAGCGUGGGUAUCGAACAGGAUUAGAUACCCCAGUAGUC
rnacentral:rRNA from 1 species